AUUGAACGCUGGCGGCAUGCCUUACACAUGCAAGUCGAACGGCAGCACGGGAGCAAUCCUGGUGGCGAGUGGCGAACGGGUGAGUAAUGUAUCGGAACGUACCUUUCAGUGGGGGAUAACGUAGCGAAAGUUACGCUAAUACCGCAUACUCUGUGAGCAGGAAAGCAGGGGAUCGCAAGACCUUGCGCUGAUUGAGCGGCCGAUAUCAGAUUAGCUAGUUGGUGAGGUAAAGGCUCACCAAGGCGACGAUCUGUAGCGGGUCUGAGAGGAUGGAUCCGCCGACACUGGAACUGAGACACGGUCCAGACUCCUACGGGAGGCAGCAGUGGGGAAUUUU
rnacentral:rRNA from 1 species